UUGAACGCUGGCGGAAUGCUUUACACAUGCAAGUCGGGCGGCAGCGCGGGGGCAACCCUGGCGGCGAGCGGCGAACGGGUGAGUAACAUAUCAGAACGUACCCAGACGUGGGGGACAACUAGUCGAAAGACUAGCUAAUACCGCAUACGUCCUGAGGGAGAAAGCGGGGGAUCGCAAGACCUCGCGCGUUUGGAGCGGCCGAUAUCUGAUUAGCUAGAUGGUGGGGUAAAGGCCCACCAUGGCGACGAUCAGUAGCUGGUCUGAGAGGAUGAUCAGCCACACUGGAGCUGAGACACGGUCCAGACUCCUACGGGAGGCAGCAGUGGGGAAUUUUGGACAAUGGGGGAAACCCUGAUCCAGCCAUUCCGCGUGAGUGAAGAAGGCCUUCGGGUUGUAAAGCUCUUUCGGCAGGAACGAAACGGCGGAAUCUAAUACAUUCCACUAAUGACGGUACCUGAAGAAGAAGCACCGGCUAACUACGU
rnacentral:rRNA from 1 species